rnacentral:lncRNA from 1 species
AGAAAUCAAAUCGAAAAACUAUUGGUCAAAUCCGUCAAUGGAUUGAUCAUGGUGUCUUCCACCAUGUUGCACAAGAAACAGACGCGUAUACCCUCUGGAAGAAGUUGGAAGACAUGUACCAGGCCAAGACCGUUGGAAUAAGGCCCUAUUGAUGAGGCGCUUAGUUAACAGGAAGCUAAAAAUGAAACUUCAGUUGCCGAGCAUACCAGUGAGUUCCAAAACCUGGUCAACCAGUUGUCGUCUGUAGAGAUGCCACUUAGCGGAAGCUAAAAAUGAAACUUCAGUUGCCGAGCAUACCAGUGAGUUCCAAAACCUGGUCAACCAGUUGUAGUCUGUAGAGAUGCCACUUAGCGAUGAAGUUCGGGCGCUGUUACUUCUCAGUUCCCUUCCCGAUAGUUGGGAACGCUGGUCGUAUCACUCAGUAACUCAGCCCCUAAUGGCAAACUUACCAUGUUAAUGGUCAAGGAUGCCCUAUUCAGUGAAGAGGCAAGGAGAAAGGAGAUAGGCACAGAUCAG